rnacentral:tRNA from 1 species
CUGAAAAACCCCUGUUGUUCUUCAACUAUGAAAAUAAUCCACCU